rnacentral:lncRNA from 10 species
AGAUGGAGUUUUGCUCUGUCACCCAGGCUGGAGGGCAAUGACACCACCAUAGCUCACUGGAGCCUGGAGCUCCUGGGCUCACAUGAUCCUCCCACCUCAGCCUCCCAGGUAGCUGGGACUACAGCCACUGUGAGUGCUGUGCUAACUCCAGGUGGUGUCAGGACUGAAGUGAACUCACUGUAGGACGCCCAGCUGGUUUCCAAGAAUUGGUCGAUGUGGGAGAAACGCCCAUAUCUGCCUCCUGCAUCUGCAGAUCCAAGGACCAGCCUCCGUAAGACCAGGACCCAAACUUCAGUUUGCAGUGCUGCACAUCAAAGGGAAACCAGCGUACAUCGAUGUAGCAGGAACUCUUGAAUAUGCCUGUGUGGGUGAUGGAAACAGAAGACUGAAACGGAAGCUGACUGAGAUGUGCUGAAAAUACACAGCAGUUCCUUCAGCCGGUUCCGCCCUCCGCACUGCAGCUAACACAGUCCAGAGCAAACGGAAUCUGUCUUUUUAUUUAUUCGCAAAAUCUGUAAAACAGAAUCUCAGCUAAGCUUCACUGUCUUUUAAAAUCCAAACGUAACACUGACAUGCUCUCUCAAAGACUGUUUUGUGGGCUUUUUGUGCAAAAAGUUAGCUCUAUAAUCUGCAUUUACCAUGAGCAUCUUCAGACUCUAAAUAAUAAAAGUAAAGAAUGCAAAAUAUCUCAGAGAAGUUGAUAACCCUGAUGAUGAAGUUAGAAAUAGAAUCUAAAAGGUGUGUGUGUGUGUGUGUGUGUCUGUUUGGUGCGGGGUGAGGUAGGCAUUUUCUUUAGGUUAAAAAUGGGAAGAACACAUGAUUAUCGAGAAAUACAAUCUAGAAUUCUGGUUAAAGCUAGAAUUUUAACUAAUUUAAAUUCUAGAUGAAGAACAGAACAAGCUGGGCACAGUGUCUCAUGCCCGUAAUCCCAGUGACUCUAAGACAUUGACGUGGGAGGGUCACUUGAGACUAGGAGUUUGAGACCGGACUGGGCAACAUAGUGAGACAUCUCUAAUAAAAAAAAUUAGCUGGGUGAGGUGAUGCAUGCCUGUAGUCCCAGCUACUCAGAAGGCUAAGGCAGGAGCAUUGCUUGAGCCCAGGAGUUUGAGGCUAAAGUGAAGUGAGCUAUGAUCGAGCCCCUGCACUCCAGCCUGGGGAACACACCUAGAAUCUGUCUGUAAGAAAAAAAGUUAAAACAAACAAACAAACAAACAAACAAAAACAAGAACAGAUAGAUAGGUUUAAGCUGAAGAGAUGGUGCUUGAAGGAAGAGUUUCCGCUGAAAAGAGCUAUUCCAGGCUAGGACAGGUUGGAAGUGGAUUUCCCAGAGGGCCAAGGGGAGGAAACCAGAUAGAGGCCACUCCAGUUAUUUACACUCAUGUGCUCUUCCCUGCCCAGAGGAAGGCUGCAUGGCACAAGAAGACAGGCACAGACUCGGUGUCCAGGUGUUCCUGGGGCAGGGCUGGCACUCUGCAAACUUCUGUUACUGAGUUACAGAAAGAGUGCACGCAGGAAGGGCCUCCACAGCCUUGCACACAAGGACCCCACCCCACAACCGAGUUGGGAAAAGAUACACAUUUUGUCCCCUGAAGUUCCUUUAAGUAUGCUUUGCGUCCUUACAUGAAAUGUUUAUAGGAAUCUGGAAUCAUCACAGACAAUCCCCCUCCAUUAAUAGUUGGAUCCCCCCAAAACCCACCUUGUCUGCCAGUUAGUUGGAAAGCUUUGUAACUUCAUGAGCCCAUUUCUACGAAAUAAUGGCCCGAGACAGAGAAUUUCUAGAGACAGAAAGCAGAUCAGUGGUUGCUGGGAGUAGGAAUGGGAAUUAACUGCAAACAAGCAAAAGGGAUCUUUGUGGGGUGAUGGGAAUGUUCUAAAACUAGACUGUGGUAAUGGUUGCAUAAGUCUGUAAAUAUACUAAAAGUUGUUGAAUCAUGUACUUAAAAUGCAUGAUAUGUAAAUUCUCUCUCAAUAAAGCU